CCUACGGGAGGCAGCAGUGGGGAAUAUUGGACAAUGGGGGCAACCCUGAUCCAGCCAUGCCGCGUGUGUGAAGAAGGCUCUCGGGUUGUAAAGCACUUUCAGUGAGGAAGAACGCCUGGUGGUUAAUACCCAUCAGGAAAGACAUCACUCACAGAAGAAGCACCGGCUAACUCCGUGCCAGCAGCCGCGGUAAUACGGAGGGUGCGAGCGUUAAUCGGAAUUACUGGGCGUAAAGCGCGCGUAGGUGGCUUGAUAAGCCGGUUGUGAAAGCCCCGGGCUCAACCUGGGAACGGCAUCCGGAACUGUCAAGCUAGAGUGCAGGAGAGGAAGGUAGAAUUCCCGGUGUAGCGGUGAAAUGCGUAGAGAUCGGGAGGAAUACCAGUGGCGAAGGCGGCCUUCUGGACUGACACUGACACUGAGGUGCGAAAGCGUGGGUAGCAAACAGGAUUAGAUACCCUGGUAGUC
rnacentral:rRNA from 1 species